AUGGCAGACUAUAACUGGCUCUACCUUUCCCCCUCUCCACCUUCCCCUGCCCCGUCCUCUUUAAAAAAAAAAAAAAAAAAAAAAAAAAAAAAAAAGAAAAAAUAUUCCAAAAAAAAGAAAAAAAUGUAUAAAACAUUAAACAAGCUAUGCUCCAACUCUAUAUGUGUCCCCCAGACUCUCUUUCCUUCGACGGGUGCUGGGGGGGAUGGGGGGGGUCAAAGGAAACAAAUCGGAAAAGGGCUGGAGGAGGGACUGACCUGGCUGGCUCUGAGUAACUCUGACUUCAGUCCUGGCCCUCUCCUAGGCUUCCUGAAGAAGAGGGGACCUAAGGGGUGGGAGGGUGGAGGGAGGAAGUGGAGUGGCAGUGGGGGAUGGGAACAGGAAAAACAAGGUAGAGAGAGGAGGACAAGGAGGAAGAGAAGGAUCAUCAGGACCCUGGAGUCCAAGCCAGCUAGUUUUGUUUUAAACCCUUCCUGGAUUCUGCCUUGGGAUCAAUGCUAA
rnacentral:lncRNA from 1 species